UCCUUGGGCCCAUGAGGACUCUGUUCACUCUU
rnacentral:piRNA from 1 species